GAAAGUAAAAAAGGGCGCAUGGCGGAUGCCUUGGCUCUCGGAGGCGAUGAAGGACGUGAUAAGCUGCGAUAAGCUUUGGGGAGGUGCAAAUGACCUUUGAUCCAGAGAUUUCCGAAUGGGACAACCCAAUAUCUUGAAGAGGUAUUAUCCAACGUUGUUGGAGGCUAACGCAGGGAACUGAAACAUCUUAGUACCUGCAGGAAAAGAAAAUAAACAAUGAUUCCCCCAGUAGUGGCGAGCGAACGGGGAACAGCCCAAACCAUCCAUGUUACGGCAUGGGUGGGGUUGUAGGACUACGCCGUUGCAUGAAGACAUCAGAGAAGAACUUUCUGGAAAGAAAGACCAUAGAGCAUGACAGUUGCGUAUUCGAAUGUUGUCGAAGCAUAGUAGUAUCCUGAGUAGCGCGGAGCACGAGGAAUUCUGCGUGAAUCUGCCGGGACCAUCCGGUAAGGCUAAAUACUCCCGAGAGACCGAUAGCGAACCAGUACCGUGAGGGAAAGGUGAAAAGCACUUCGAACAGAAGAGUGAAAUAGUUCCUGAAACCGUGCGCCUACAAGCGGUCGGAGCUCGUUAAUGAGUGACGGCGUGCCUUUUGCAUAAUGAACCUACGAGUUGCCUUUGCCGGCAAGGUUAAGUGUGACGACACACGUAUCCGAAGCGAAAGCGAGUCUGAACAGGGCGUAUAGUCGGCAGUGGCAGACGCGAAACCAAGUGAUCUACCCUUGGCCAGGUUGAAGGCUGGGUAACACCAGCUGGAGGACCGCACCAAUAAGCGUUGAAAAGCUUCUGGAUGAGCUGAGGGUAGGGGUGAAAGGCUAAUCAAACUUGGAGAUAGCUCGUACUCCCCGAAAUGCAUUUAGGUGCAGCCUUGCGGGUUACUGAUGUGAGGUAGAGCGACUGAUAAGAUGCGAGGGCUUCACCGCCUAUCAAGUCUUGACAAACUCCGAAUGCGCAUCAGUUCUACCGCAGGAGUGAGGGCAUGGGUGCUAAGGUCCGUGCCCGAGAGGAGAAGAAUCCGGACCACCUGCUAAGGUCCCGAAAUGACAGCUAAGUUAAACUAACGAAGUCUGACUGCUAAGACAGCUAGGAUGUUGGCUUGGAAGCAGCCAUUCAUUUAAAGAGUGCGUAACAGCUCACUAGUCGAGGAGUCGGGCGUGGAUAAUAAUCGGGUAUUAAGUUGUCUACCGAAGCAGUGGGAUCAUU
rnacentral:rRNA from 1 species